rnacentral:SRP_RNA from 2 species
GAAGCCGGGCGGCGGUAGAUCCGCCAACCCCGCCAGGUUCGAAAGAAAGCAACGGUAACGGUUGAUACCGGGUGCCCGGCCCCCAA